rnacentral:rRNA from 1 species
AUUGAACGCUGGCGGCAUGCUUUACACAUGCAAGUCGAACGGUAACAGGCCGCAAGGUGCUGACGAGUGGCGAGCGGGUGAGUAAUGCAUCGGAACGUGCCCAGUCGUGGGGGAUAACGCAGCGAAAGCUGCGCUAAUACCGCAUACCAUCUCUGGAUGAAAGCGGGGGACCGUAAUGCCUCGCGCGAUUGGAGCGGCCGAUGUCAGAUUAGGUAGUUGGUGGGGUAAAGGCUCACCAAGCCAACGAUCUGUAGCUGGUCUGAGAGGACGACCAGCCAAACUGGGACUGAGACACGGCCUAGACUCCUACGGGAGGCAGCAGUGGGGAAUUUUGGACAAUGGGCGCAAGCCUGAUCCAGCAAUGCCGCGUGCAGGAAGAAGGCCUUCGGGUUGUAAACUGCUUUUGUACGGAACGAAACGGUCCUGGUUAAUACCCGGGGCUAAUGACGGUACCGUAAGAAUAAGCACCGGCUAACUACGUGCCAGCCGCCGCAGUAAAAC